rnacentral:lncRNA from 1 species
CUAUAGGUCUAAUCGCUACAUUGAUUUGUGCCAUGUAUGUUAGGAAACAAUAUUGUAAAGUAUAUAAAGAGAACCUUAACAACAAUGGAAGUUGAGUUCAUGUUUAAGAGGUUUGGCCAGCAUAUUUAUUUAGUAGUUGGCCUAACCCAAUUAAAUAAAGUGGAAGUUGACUCUCAUAGAUGUCAACUUGUUUCUCCUUUUUUU